GCAGCGGGUGCUAUACUUGCAGUCGAGCGGACAGAUGGGAGCUUGCUCCCUGAUGUUAGCGGCGGACGGGUGAGUAACACGUGGGUAACCUGCCUGUAAGACUGGGAUAACUCCGGGAAACCGGGGCUAAUACCGGAUGGUUGUUUGAACCGCAUGGUUCAGACAUAAAAGGUGGCUUCGGCUACCACUUACAGAUGGACCCGCGGCGCAUUAGCUAGUUGGUGAGGUAACGGCUCACCAAGGCGACGAUGCGUAGCCGACCUGAGAGGGUGAUCGGCCACACUGGGACUGAGACACGGCCCAGACUCCUACGGGAGGCAGCAGUAGGGAAUCUUCCGCAAUGGACGAAAGUCUGACGGAGCAACGCCGCGUGAGUGAUGAAGGUUUUCGGAUCGUAAAGCUCUGUUGUUAGGGAAGAACAAGUGCCGUUCAAAUAGGGCGGCACCUUGACGGUACCUAACCAGAAAGCCACGGCUAACUACGUGCCAGCAGCCGCGGUAAUACGUAGGUGGCAAGCGUUGUCCGGAAUUAUUGGGCGUAAAGGGCUCGCAGGCGGUUUCUUAAGUCUGAUGUGAAAGCCCCCGGCUCAACCGGGGAGGGUCAUUGGAAACUGGGGAACUUGAGUGCAGAAGAGGAGAGUGGAAUUCCACGUGUAGCGGUGAAAUGCGUAGAGAUGUGGAGGAACACCAGUGGCGAAGGCGACUCUCUGGUCUGUAACUGACGCUGAGGAGCGAAAGCGUGGGGAGCGAACAGGAUUAGAUACCCUGGUAGUCCACGCCGUAAACGAUGAGUGCUAAGUGUUAGGGGGUUUCCGCCCCUUAGUGCUGCAGCUAACGCAUUAAGCACUCCGCCUGGGGAGUACGGUCGCAAGACUGAAACUCAAAGGAAUUGACGGGGGCCCGCACAAGCGGUGGAACAUGUGGUUUAAUUCGAAGCAACGCGAAGAAC
rnacentral:rRNA from 1 species